GAUCCUGGCUCAGGAUGAACGCUAGCGACAGGCUUAACACAUGCAAGUCGAGGGGCAGCACAGGGUAGCAAUACUUGGGUGGCGACCGGCGCACGGGUGAGUAACGCGUAUGCAACUUACCUAUCAGAGGGGGAUAGCCCGGCGAAAGUCGGAUUAAUACCCCAUGAAACAGGGGUCCCGCAUGGGAAUAUUGUUUAAAGUAAUUCUAUCGCUGAUAGAUAGGCAUGCGUUCCAUUAGG
rnacentral:rRNA from 1 species